GGCUGUUGCUGGCCCCCUUGGGGUACGUGCACGCUUGUCAUCUUUAUCUCUCCAACUGUGCACAUAUUGUAGACCUGUUUCUUUUUGAAAAAUGAUUUUUUUUUUCGAGUUUGGACUGCUGUGCUUCAUUUUUUGAAGUCGGCUUUGCCUUUGCCCAGGUCUAUGUCAUUUCACAACCUCUUGAAUGCAUUUARAAUGUUGAAUCAGGUCCAGUUUUGUACCUAUAAAAGUUAAAUAUACAACUUUCAGCAACGGAUCUCUUGGCUCUCGCAUCGAUGAARAACGCAGCGAAAUGCGAUAAGUAAUGUGAAUUGCARAAUUCAGUGAAUCAUCGAAUCUUUGAACGCACCUUGCGCUCCUUGGUAUUCCGAGGAGCAUGCCUGUUUGAGUGUCAUUUAUAGUUCUCAAACCACAUUUAUCAAUGGGAUGUGGCUUGGAUGUGGGGGUGUUGUUUUGCAGGCUUCUCUGAGGUCUGCUCCCCUGAAAUGCAUUAGUGGUAUCUGAGCUACUACAGAUGUGAUAAUUUAUCUACAUCAAAAGUAUGCUGCACACCGCUUCCUAACAAGUUUUGAAAUUUGAUGAAUUUGACCUCAAAUCAGGUAGGACUACCCGCUGAACUUAAGCAUAUCAAUA
rnacentral:rRNA from 2 species